ensembl:snoRNA small nucleolar RNA, H/ACA box 69
AAAGCAGGUCUGCAAUUGCAGCACUCCAUUGCAGUAGAGUGCUGUCAUUAACCCUGCUGAGAGCAUCUCUGCUGCAGAGCUCUUACCUCCUGCUCACCGUGCGUCGGUGAUGAGGAGGCUCUGUGGCUGAACAUU